AUGGUGGGGGCAGAUAGAAGUGAUAGUUUUAUUCAUCUUCUUGAGAGAGUAAUAAAGCGACUAAAGGUAUGGCGGGAAAAGUUUCUUUCGGUGGGUGGCAAAGAAAUUUUAUUGAAGGCUGUUAUUCAGUCUCUACCUGUUUUUGCUAUGGCAGCUUUUAAUAUUCCCAAAAAGAUUUGUAAGCUCAUAACAGACGAAAUGUCUAGCUUUUGGUGGGGAGAUACUGAAGAACAAAAGAAAAUGCAUUGGUGGGCAUGGUGGAAGAUGUGUGUACCAAAAAAGAACGGUAUGGGGUUUAGGGACUUGCACGCUUUUAAUCUCGCUAUGUUAGCAAAGCAAAGUUGGAGGUUGAUCAUAAAACCAAAUUCUUUGUGUGCGACUGUUCUCAGAGCUAAGUAUUACCCCGAUGGCAAUUUACUGAAAGCGGGUCCGAAGAAGGGAUCCUCUUUUACUUGGCAGAGCAUAAUUGCUGGGCUACGCACAUUUAUGAGAGGACACAUAUGGAGAGUUGGUACUGGAGCAAACGUCAACAUAUGGGAGGACCAUUGGGUGCCUAUCAGUCCGAACAGGAAAGUAAUAACUGUGAAAGGACAAAGACUUCUGCAGAAUGUAGAUGAUUUAAUUGAUCCCUUUACAGGACAGUGGGAUGAGGCUUUGAUUAGAGAUAAUUUUAUUUGGGUGGAUGUGGAAAGAAUUUUAAAAUCCCUUUGA
rnacentral:rRNA from 1 species